rnacentral:rRNA from 1 species
UACGGAAGGGGCGAGCGUUGUUCGGAAUCAUUGGGCGUAAAGGGUGCGUAGGCGGGUCUUUAAGUCAGGGGUGAAAUCCUGGAGCUCAACUCCAGAACUGCCUUUGAUACUGAAGAUCUUGAGUUCGGGAGAGGUGAGUGGAACUGCGAGUGUAGAGGUGAAAUUCGUAGAUAUUCGCAAGAACACCAGUGGCGAAGGCGGCUCACUGGCCCGAUACUGACGCUGAGGCACGAAAGCGUGGGGAGCAAACAGG